rnacentral:rRNA from 1 species
AUGGCUCUCGAAGCGCGCCUCCGCCUCCCGCUCGCGGGGCCAACUCCGGCCACCGCUUUCCUCUCAGGAUCCAACCCCAAACCCAGUCACAUAUCCUUCUCCCUCAAACCCGCCUCCACUUCUCUCUCCGCCGCCAAUGCGCCGCCGCCCAUCGUCGUCGUGGGCUCCGCCAACGCGGACAUCUACGUCGAGGUCGACCGUCUCCCUCUUGUCGGCGAGACGGUUGCCGCGAGUGCCGGUCACAGCCUCGCCGGCGGGAAGGGCGCCAAUCAAGCUGCCUGCGGGGGGCGGCUUGCGCUGGGGCCCACCUACCUCGUGGCGCGCGUGGGGGACGACGCCAACGGGCGCCUCCUCGAGGGGGCACUCGCGGACGCCGGCGGCGUCCGCCUCGACCGCGUCGCUCGCGCCCCCGGCGCGCCCUCGGGGCACGCUGUUGUCAUGCUCAUGCCCGACGGGCAGAACUCCAUCAUCAUCGUUGGCGGCGCCAACAUGGAGGGCUGGGCACCGGAGGUCGACCAGGAGGACCUGGACCUGAUCCGGCAGGCCGGCGUGCUACUGCUGCAACGGGAGAUACCCGAUUGGGUCAACAUUCAGGUCGCUCAGGCGGCAAAAGGUGCAGGUGUGCCUGUUAUUUUAGAUGCAGGUGGGAUGGAUGCUCCUGUCCCCAGAGAACUACUCGAACUGGUGGACAUUUUUAGUCCAAAUGAAACAGAGCUAGCACGUUUGACUGGGAUGCCUACCGAGACUUUUGAACAAAUCAGCCAGGCUGCAGGAGCAUGCCAUAAAAUGGGUGUGAAAGAAGUUUUGGUUAAACUUGGGUCACAAGGAUCUGCUCUGUUUGUGGAGGGAGAGGAGCCAAUUAGGCAGGCGAUAAUACCCGCCACAGAAGUAGUAGACACCACCGGCGCUGGUGACACCUUCACCUCAGCUUUUGCUGUAGCUCUGGUGGAGGGGAAGCCCAAGAAAGAGUGCAUGCGAUUUGCUGCUGCCGCUGCCUCACUGUGUGUUGGAGUGAAGGGAGCCAUUCCCAGCAUGCCUGACAGGGAAACCGUGAUGAGCCUUCUAGAAUCUGUGCAAGCUGAAUAA